GCAAUCUGAACCCUUAUGAAGUUGGUAUUAUUUAUACAUUGUUUUCAUAAAGCUUACUAGUAGGUGAAAAAUGUGCCUUGAGUUAUCUAAACAACUGUCGGAUUUCCUUUUGUGUGAUGCCUUUGCAAAGGAGCAAAUCCGCUAACUAGAGAAAGUAUGAAUAACAUGAAAACAGAAGUAUGAAUAACAUGAAAACAGGAGUAUGGCAUGCCUUGAGGAUAAAGUCAUUCCAAGGGAUCAUAAACUUUCCUUGUAGCUAGAGGCAAGUGAAAGUCCUUCUAACUGAGCACACAAGUAAAGGACAUAGCUGCUACAUUUGUUACAAUCAGACCUAGCCGUAGCUUCUUCAUUCUUUGGAAACAAACAAACAAGGGAAAGGAAGAGCGAAAUCCAAAGUAAGAAGACCGAUCAGAGAGUCUCCUGGUCAUGGCUAGAGAGAGCAGCCACGAUUGCCUCCGACGAGUUAACUUGGACGGGACGAACGUGGGGGCUACAAUGUUCGUCCGCCGCAACGCCUCGGGCGAGUCAUCACCAGACUGCUGUUGCCUUAACAUAUACAUAAACAACAACGUUCAGGGGGUCAAUAACUCCAUUUUGGUUGGAAGCGAGGUAAAAUUAAGAGAUCCUGGAGUUCGCAUAUAUUUUUUCGGAGAUGUCGUGUUGAAUAGGAGACGGCCGGGGUCAAAUAACAAGAGUUGCAAGCCCGAUUGGUCCGUGAUGUUUAUUCUUUUAUGCAUCUCAAUUUUCAUGCUGCUUUCAUUUCUAUGAUUAACGGUAACUAACAGAUAUUGAAUCAGAUACAUUGUACGGUCAGCGUUAUAAUAUUGAUUGAAUUAAUAUAUUAUUAAGACGGUGUUGAAAGUACUCUUCGUGGCCAUCCACUCUUUCUGUUGUCAUGUUUUUCAUAUUAACAGUUUGCCGCCCAACCUCCAGACUCCAG
rnacentral:lncRNA from 1 species